GUCGCUCACGGUCCCACUGCGCACGCGUGCUCACCUGGCGCGCUCCGCCAGGCGGGGCGAGCGCAAACCCCUCCCCCUGGGUGCCGCCCUCUCCAUGCCUGUGGGAAAGCUCCGCUCGCAGAGCUGCGCUCAGGCGUUCCUUGGGUGAGAAUCUUCACUCCCCUAUUCAGGUGCUGUUCCUCAGUUGGUCUCAACAGGUGGCGCUGGAACAAGGGACCGGGAGUUAAUGAAUGCAAGCAAGUGAAUGGAGCACUCGGGUAUUAUUCAAGUGGAAGUUCGGUGAAUAACUCGGGAGUAAAAUUGUAAAUAUGGGGCAAGGAAGAAAAUGAAGCUCAAUAGCUGCCUGAGUGCUUCGUGUAGUUUGUGGAACAGAGGAAUGCUGACCCAGAUGAUAUUGUGGCUGCUGAUGUUCCCCCAGAGGAGUUGGAGUGAGAUUUACUGAACCUAUGUUCCUGAUCCUCCAAUGUUACAUCCUGUGCAGUCUGGGCAGGGAAGGAGAUUAUGGUGACUGUUGGUGAUUCUCAGCUUCUUGAUAGACCUGCUGCACUAAUUUCCCAGACCUCUGUGAAUUUUAAUUAUUCUGGAUCUGGCCAAGGAAUGCCUAUCUGUUUUUCCAAAAAUGAAUCUGUGACUGGGUGUUUGGCCAUUUAUCCACACUAUAUCUUGGGACUCAGAGAUCACCUUUGCCAGUAUAGUGUUCAUCUGCUGUUGCCCAGAGGAAAUAGAAGGCCUGGAGAAUAGCUGCCUCAGAGAUUCUCCCUCUGUGGGAAAGAGACUCGUUGGAGCAGUCAAACACUAUUAUGGAGGCAAUGUGUGGCUAAAGCCCCUCUUCAGUAUAAUAUCACUGGAAUUCAGAGAUAUGUGCUAGACUGGCUAGGAAACUAAUUGGAGAUACUGAAGAGAAUCCCCGAAAUGAUGAGGAGGAGUGGGGUAAAGGUUUUGCUGCUGGUUUUUGGUACUCGGGACUGGAGCAGCUCACACAUAUCUUUGGAAGUUGGUAUCAGCAAUGCAUUGGAUUUUAGGAGAGGGAAAAGAAAAGGUUCAGAAUUAUGGAGUUACUCAUACCUCACCUACCACAAAAACAUUUUCUUGCCCCUUGAUUGGAUCGAAGUUACGAGAAUUGUAACCAAUUGUGUGUCCAUUGUUAAUAAUCAUACUAGAAUUAUGGUGUUAAUCUGUUAAUGUUUGUAACCUCUUCUGUUCACAGUGAAAGUGUUACUGGAUAGAAAAAGGUUAGUACUCAUCUGAGACAAAUUUGGUAUGAGUAUGACAAGGAUGCUAAUGAGUCCUUAGAUUUGAUGUGGUUGCAUCAGGAAAUUACUGAUUUUAAAAAGGCAAAGUUGGAUUUUGAUGCAGCUAAAACUGCUGAAGACAUCCUGGACCAAUUUUAAAAGGCCAUUCCAUCUUGGUCAUCCUUUACUCUCUUAUUAGGAAGUAUUGCAGCCAUAGUAGCAUGUGUAUUGCUAGGCAUUAUUUGCCUAUGAUUAUCAAGUUAACUUGUGAGCUCUGUGGAAAGUUGGUUCGGAGCUGCACCAAGCUCCACGCCCUCUCUUGAGAUUUUUCAGAGGCUGGUAGUCAAAGACAGGUAAGUCCUUUUUACCACCUUUCAACCUAAGACAGGGCAUGUGCCAAAGACGGGUAAGACUGGAUGGUUGAAAAAGGCAUCCUAAGACAGGCACAGUCAUCUGAGGGGUCUGGGGGACCUUUUUUAAAAAAAGGGAAUUGUGGGAGCCCAAAGUGACUCUACCUUGUGGCUUGAUUCCAUCUUGACUUAAAGUCAGAGAGUUCAGGCUUGUUUUUGCUCCUUAAGGCUGAAUAACAGGAUGAUGGCCAAAGGCAUGGUUACUAGAUAUUUUGUUCCUCAAGGCCAAAUAACAGGUUGAUUGACCAAAGGCGUAGUUAUUAGAUGUUUUGAGAAUUAAAGAGGUGUUUACACUUGUUUGUUCUUUGAACCUUGGUAAGGACGUUUUUUUGCCCACCCCACCUCCUGCUUUGGGUAUAAAAAGGCUAUGAGAAAUAAAUUCAGGGCUGCUGCAGUAUUCACUAAGAGCCCUCCUGAUUCUAA